rnacentral:rRNA from 1 species
UGCAAGUCGAGCGGUAGAGAGGUGCUUGCAUCUCUUGAGAGCGGCGGACGGGUGAGUAAUGCCUAGGAAUCUGCCUGGUAGUGGGGGAUAACGCUCGGAAACGGACGCUAAUACCGCAUACGUCCUACGGGAGAAAGCAGGGGACCUUCGGGCCUUGCGCUAUCAGAUGAGCCUAGGUCGGAUUAGCUAGUUGGUGAGGUAAUGGCUCACCAAGGCGACGAUCCGUAACUGGUCUGAGAGGAUGAUCAGUCACACUGGAACUGAGACACGGUCCAGACUCCUACGGGAGGCAGCAGUGGGGAAUAUUGGACAAUGGGCGAAAGCCUGAUCCAGCCAUGCCGCGUGUGUGAAGAAGGUCUUCGGAUUGUAAAGCACUUUAAGUUGGGAGGAAGGGCAUUAACCUAAUACGUUAGUGUUUUGACGUUACCGACAGAAUAAGCACCGGCUAACUCUGUGCCAGCAGCCGCGGUAAUACAGAGGGUGCAAGCGUUAAUCGGAAUUACUGGGCGUAAAGCGCGCGUAGGUGGUUUGUUAAGUUGGAUGUGAAAGCCCCGGGCUCAACCUGGGAACUGCAUUCAAAACUGACAAGCUAGAGUAUGGUAGAGGGUGGGUGGGAAUUUCCUGUGUAGCGGUGAAAUGCGUAGAUAUAGGAAGGAACACCAGUGGCGAAAGGCGACCACCUGGACUGAUACUGACACUGAGGUGCGAAAGCGUGGGGAGCAAACAGGAUUAGAUACCCUGGUAGUCCACGCCGUAAACGAUGUCAACUAGCCGUUGGGAGCCUUGAGCUCUUAGUGGCGCAGCUAACGCAUUAAGUUGACCGCCUGGGGGAGUACGGCCGCAAGGUUAAAAACUCAAAUGAAAUUGACGGGGGGCCCGCACAAGCGGUGGAA